GGGCAUUUAACUCAGCGGGAGAGUACUACCUUCACACGGUAGGAGUCGCAGGUUCGAUCCCUGCAAUGCCCACCA
rnacentral:tRNA from 1 species